GUGGGUGGCAAUUUAAGAUGCUUCACGUGGAGAAAAGUCUUAACUAUUGGGUAGUUUUGAAAACAGAUGCACAGAAGCAAAAUCAUUGGAAAAGGAAGAACAGAAGAAUGAAGCUCAUGUGUGAGGCAGGGAGAGUGAAAUUGUGUCCUAGGCAGUGUGAAGAGGUUUAAGUAACAGAAGCCUACAGCACGGAUGGUAGACAGCCUUUCUCCUUGCAAGCAGAGGAAAAUACAGAAAUGGGAGCAGCAGAAUAUAACAUGAAAAGCUAUAGCAGUAGAAAAAGGCCAGCUGGUUCAACAUGCCAGUCCUUUUAAAGCAGAUCAAACCAUCAUUUGGACCAGUAGUCCCCAUCCUCCCUCAGCCUGGUAAGCUGUUGUACAUUUAUUUUGGUGCGAGAUCUCUUCUAAAUGGGUUGCUGUAGCAUAGAUCCACAUCCUGUUGUA